rnacentral:rRNA from 1 species
CAGCCGCCGCGGUAAUACGGAGGAUCCAAGCGUUAUCCGGAAUCAUUGGGUUUAAAGGGUCCGUAGGCGGUCUUGUAAGUCAGUGGUGAAAGCCCAUCGCUCAACGGUGGAACGGCCAUUGAUACUGCAGGACUUGAAUUAUUGGGAAGUAACUAGAAUAUGUAGUGUAGCGGUGAAAUGCUUAGAGAUUACAUGGAAUACCAAUUGCGAAGGCAGGUUACUACCAAUUGAUUGACGCUGAUGGACGAAAGCGUGGGUAGCGAACAGGAUUAGAUACCCCAGUAGUCCCUGUCUCUUAUAU